GACGAACGCUGGCGGCGUGCUUAACACAUGCAAGUCGAGCGGUAAGGCCCUUUCGGGGGUACACGAGCGGCGAACGGGUGAGUAACACGUGGGUGACCUGCCCUCAGCUCUGGGAUAAGCCCGGGAAACUGGGUCUAAUACCGGAUAUGACUUCAUGACGCAUGUUGUGGAGUGGAAAGCCUUGUGCGGCUGAGGAUGGGCCCGCGGCCUAUCAGCUUGUUGGUGGGGUGAGGCCUACCAAGGCGACGACGGGUAGCCGGCCUGAGAGGGCGACCGGCCACACUGGGACUGAGAUACGGCCCAGACUCCUACGGGAGGCAGCAGUGGGGAAUCUUGCGCAAUGGGCGAAAGCCUGACGCAGCGACGCCGCGUGAGGGAUGAC
rnacentral:rRNA from 1 species